GCCCGGGACGCAGGGAGCAAGAGGGAGGCCGGGCCCAGCAGCCAGUCGCGCGGCACACCAGCGCGCCCGGGACCGGGCUGGUGGAACCUUUCCAGAGGGCAGAGUUUAUUCCAGGACCUAAUGAGAGAGAACCUGAUACAGCCUCCUUCCACAGAAGUCUGUGUCCUUCCUUGUUCCUGGUGGUGUGACCUUAUAGCUACAUGAAGAUGGGAAGGCUGGUUGUCCAGGUUAUGUCGAGUGGUCAUCACCAAGCUGGAGGUGGUUGGACUCUAAUUAAGCCUGGAGUUUUAUUUGAGACCUGAAAAGGGCUGCGUCCCUCCCAAGUGACAUUUGCUGGAAUAAUACUGCAGGCUGACUCACAGGGUCAGCCUCUUUCUUUGUGAUGGGAGGGGCCCGCGUUGACCUUCACCAGACUAGUCUCAAUUUCCUGCUCAUUAAAUUGGGAGGUUGAAAUUUAGAUCACUAAAGUUCCUUGAAGUCUAGGUGUUUUCUCAUUUUGUAGUCUGGCAGUAGGUGUUUGGGGACUUGAGUGUGACUCCU